GACGAACGCUGGCGGUGUGCUUAACACAUGCAAGUCGAACGGUAAGGCCCUUUCGGGGGUCCACGAGUGGCGAACGGGUGAGUAACACGUGAGUAACCUGCCCUCAUCUCUGGGAUAACAGUCGGAAACGGUUGCUAAUACUGGAUAUGAGCUUGCAAGGCAUCUUGUGGGUUGGAAAGAUUUUUUUGGUUGGGGAUGGACUCGCGGCCUAUCAGCUUGUUGGUGAGGUAGUGGCUCACCAAGGCUUCGACGGGUAGCCGGCCUGAGAGGGCGACCGGCCACAUUGGGACUGAGAUACGGCCCAAACUCCUACGGGAGGCAGCAGUGGGGAAUAUUGCACAAUGGACGGAAGUCUGAUGCAGCAACGCCGCGUGCGGGAUGACGGCCUUCGGGUUGUAAACCGCUUUCAAUUGUGACGAAGCUUUUUGUGACGGUAGCAGUAGAAGAAGCACCGGCUAACUACGUG
rnacentral:rRNA from 1 species